UACAGAGGGGGCAAGCGUUUAUUCGGAAUUAUUGGGCGUAAAGGGCGCGUAGGCGGCUUGGCAAGUGGAAGGUGAAAUCCCUCGGCUUAACCGAGGAACUGCCCUCCAAACUGCUUCGCUUGAGACCAGGAGAGGUGAGUGGAAUUCCCAGUGUAGCGGUGAAAUGCGUAGAUAUUGGGAGGAACACCAGUGGCGAAGGCGGCUCACUGGACUGGUACUGACGCUGAUGCGCGAAAGCGUGGGGAGCAAACGGGG
rnacentral:rRNA from 1 species